CGGCUAACGGCUAUCUGCCAUGGCGUCCACCGAGAUAGCGAGACAAGCGGGUGAAGGUGCUCGUGCCGUCCCUCUGGCCGGCCAUGUCGGCUUUGACAGCAUGCCCGACCAGCUGGUCAACAAGUCUGUCAACCACGGAUUCUGCUUCAACAUCCUCUGUGUUGGUGAGACAGGUCUGGGGAAGUCCACACUGAUGGACACGUUGUUCAACACCAAGUUUGAGGGCGAGCCCACUCAGCACAACCAGCCGGGAGUCACACUCAAGUCCAACACCUACGAACUCCAGGAGAGCAACGUGCGCCUCAAGCUCACUGUUGUCAACACUGUAGGCUUUGGAGACCAGAUCAAUAAAGAACAAAGCUACAAGUCCAUUGUGGAGUUUAUUGAUGCCCAGUUUGAGGCAUAUCUGCAGGAAGAACUGAAAAUCAAGCGCACGCUACACAGCUACCACGACACCCGCAUCCACGCAUGCCUGUACUUCAUCGCUCCCACGGGACACUCGCUCAAAUCUCUCGACUUGGUGACCAUGAAGAAACUCGAUAGCAAGGUCAACAUAAUCCCAAUCAUCGCCAAGUCAGACGCCAUCUCCAAGAGCGAGCUGGCCAAGUUCAAAAUCAAAAUCACCAGCGAGCUGGUCAGCAACGGAGUGCAGAUCUACCAGUUCCCCACUGACGAUGAGUCUGUGGCAGAGAUCAACUCCACCAUGAACAGCCAUCUUCCGUUUGCAGUGGUGGGGAGCACAGAGGAAGUGAAGAUCGGGAACAAGAUGGUGAAGGCCCGGCAGUACCCCUGGGGGACAGUGCAGGUGGAAAAUGAGAAUCACUGUGACUUCGUCAAACUGCGAGAAAUGCUGAUCAGAGUGAACAUGGAAGACCUGCGAGAGCAGACUCACACACGCCACUAUGAGCUGUACCGCCGCUGCAAACUGGAGGAGAUGGGAUUUAAGGACACAGACCCUGACUGCAAGCCCUUCAGUCUGCAGGAAACGUAUGAAGCGAAGAGGAACGAGUUCAUGGGUGAGCUGCAGAAGAAAGAAGAGGAAAUGAGGCAAAUGUUUGUGCAAAGAGUCAAAGAGAAGGAGGCGGAGCUUAAAGAGGCAGAGAAAGAGCUGCACGAGAAGUUUGACCGUCUGAAGAAGCUCCACCAGGACGAGAAGAAGAAAGUGGAGGAUAAGAGGAAGUCCCUGGAUGACGAACUCAAUACGUUCAAACAGAAAAAGACUGCAGCAGAGCUCUUGCUGAAUCAAGCUCAGCAGGCAGGGGGCUCCACCACACUCAAGAGGGACAAAGAGAGGAAAAACUGAUGUGACUCCGUGCCUGUUAGAAAAAGGAAGACGACACUUGCACUGAGAAGCGUAGGACCCCUGUAGAAAAAGUGCUCCCUUGUGGCCGUCCUGCUGUGAAUGAGUUUCCACCCCAUCCUCCUUUACCAUACCCCCUCCCCAGCCUCACCCACCCCCCAGUAACUCAUCCCUCCACGCGCCUCCCUCCACUGCUCUGUGGAGGACGCUCGCCAUUGCUAACAGUCUGACAUCACUUGUUUUUGCAGAAUGAUGCUUGUCUGUUAUUUGGUUUGUAAGAGCUUUUUAUACACGUUGAUACAUUUCAUAUUUGUUUUGUAUUCAGUGAUUCUUUGCAUGACGAAGUGAGCUUGUUUUAAUAUUAACACACAUGACUUCUGUUGUGAUGGGCAGAAAUGUACUGAGGCUGAAGGGAAACAGGCAUCAGACACAGGGACAGUGUCAAAUGGUUAAGACGAUUAACAACUGAGUUGAUAAGUUAAUGUUAUAGAAACCUGUUGCAUCUGCAGCUUAGUGAUCCUUGAUUAUAUCUGAAACAGUAAAAAACAUUUAGUUAGUUAGUAACUAAUUAAUAAUGACUCAUUGUCUGUGGUUGAGUAGUUUGUCACUAGUUUAAAGUUUGCAAAAUUGGCCCUUUUUCCGUCAUGUGCCUAAACAAUCUGAUCCAUCAAAUUAGAUUUUCAUUGCACUUGGUUGUAUAGAAGCAUUAACUUAAAAAAGUAAGGUUUGAUAAACUUCUAAAAGGGAAAAAAUUUCCAAACCUCAGAGAGCCACAUGUGAGGGAUCCCUCUCCAAGGACGGAGAGAAGUGCAGUAUUUACAACAUUGAUGUUGUCAAUGUUUAAAGUAUUUAUACAUAAGAAAGUUUCUGAUAGAGAUAGAGAGAGCAGCAAUAUGCAUUUGCAGAUAUAUUUUCUAUUUAGGUAUUCAUGUCCCUUUGCUGAUGCUGUUUUACUUCAGCCUGAUGAACGAGUAAACGUGAGCCUCAUCUCUUUGCCACUUAUCCCAUACCUCAUUCAUUGUCAUGUGCUAUGUGCAUAUUUGUAUUAGCUUUCACAUUUGCACUUUUAUUUUUAACACACAUGUGAUCAUUUCUUUGAGUAUAUAUAAAUAUAUAUAUAUAUAUAUUAAUGUUGUCAGUGCAACUGUAACUUUCUUUUUUAUUUUAGUUAUUAUUAAGGCACGUUUAAAAAGUAAUUAAUCUUGUUGUUCAUGUCCUGCAGGGACCAAUGUUAUUUGUAUCAGUGUUGCGCAUUAAAAACAAAUUUCUUAAAAGAAAAUAAAGGCCAAUUUUUUACCAAAUGUUAAAGCUGUAACCAGAGUCAUUGUGUUUCACACAUGUCGCUGUAAAUUGAGAGAUUAGCUGAACCUCGGUGGGUAGCGUGUGUACACAGUGAAUGAAUGUUGAUGCCUCUAAGCCGUAUUUAUUUCUUUUCCGUUCAGGUCUUCUCCUUGAUUUUUCUCUACCUCGGGGUUCAUGGCUGCUUUUAUUGUGUGGUGAAAAUAAAAGGAUUAUCUUGAAUUGAAGCCAUCGCUGCAUUACAAACACUUUGAUUUCCAUGUGAUCUCAUAGAAGACCCUUUCCCACCUGCUAACCCUCAGCUCACUGUGUGUGGUGUCACUUUCCUUUGCAGUAAUCCCUGGCUCUGCACUGACUAGGUGCUCAACCUUCGAGCUUUGCUUGGGGAACCAGCCUUUGUCAGUUCUGAGCACCUCAAAUGUGACCAGAGGCUUUUUGGACUCCGUCCUUCAGGGUUUUCUUAAUCAUUACCUGCUCUUGCUUUAAUAUGGGUUCAUGUGUAUUUGUGUGUCACUGCUACUCUAACUUCACCUCAGGCGAUCUGAACCUUGCUUUAUUGCUUCUGUGUGUGUGUCCUGUUUAUGCUGAGACUAACACCCUUUUCCACUUGGGUUGUGAUGGAGAUUAUGUGCACACUUGUUUUAUUGUAAUAUUUGGAAAGCUCACACACGGAUCACAUUCAUGUAGAUACUCGUGUGGAAUUUGCGCACAUUCUACAAAAUGUAUUCACUGCUUUAAAAAUAGUCUGUGGGCACAAUACUCUCUUGUUAUUCACACUUUUUGUUGUUUAAAUGACAAAUCACAGGCACUUUACUGCCUGAUUUUGUAUUUAUGAUCACCUUUUUUCCUUCCUGAUAUCUAAUGCACUUUUAAAUCUUUGACCCUCACGUUUUUGUCCUGCUUUGCCCACCUCUCCUAACUGCCGGCUUUCUUUCUCUUUGUCUCUUCAGCUUCUUUUAAUCUGUCUUGGCCACCUGAAGAGGGGAUUGCAGCUUCGGCCAGAACUAAGCACCCUUUACCUCUUCCAGUUUUCUCUCGCUGUAUCAACCUUUUGUAUUUUCUCCGCCAUCCCAUCUGUUUUUGUUAAAUAUGGCCUUGUGUGGACUCUCAUGGUAUUUCAAACCACCCAAUGAAGAUCUAGACUUAGGCAUUUUGGGAACCGGGCACAAUUUAGUUUAAAUCUGCUAUGUCUUAAUGUAAAUAAAGCAACUCUUGUAGUUCAAAGAAGUCACCAGUAGGGGAUUUACACAUUUACAGGACUGGAGGACUUGAAAUAAAAUCGCAUUGACCGACA